rnacentral:rRNA from 1 species
AUUGAACGCUGGCGGCAUGCCUUACACAUGCAAGUCGAACGGUAACAGGUUAAGCUGACGAGUGGCGAACGGGUGAGUAAUAUAUCGGAACGUGCCCAGUCGUGGGGGAUAACGUAGCGAAAGCUACGCCAAUACCGCAUACGAUCUACGGAUGAAAGCGGGGGAUCGCAAGACCUCGCGCGGUUGGAGCGGCCGAUAUCAGAUUAGGUUGUUGGUGAGGUAAAAGCUCACCAAGCCUGCGAUCUGUAGCUGGUCUGAGAGGACGACCAGCCACACUGGAACUGAGACACGGUCCAGACUCCUACGGGAGGCAGCAGUGGGGAAUUUUGGACAAUGGACGCAAGUCUGAUCCAGCAACGCCGCGUGCAGGACGAAGGCCUUCGGGUUGUAAACUGCUUUUGUACGGAACGAAACGGUGAGCUCUAAUAUAGUUUGCUAAUGACGGUACCGUAAGAAUAAGCACCGGCUAACUACGUGCCAGCAGCCGCCGUAA